CUCGCGCACGGGUGAGUAACGCGUAGAUAACCUGCCUAUAGCUGGGGGAUAACCCCGAGAAAUCGGGGCUAAUACCGCAUAAUGCAGCGGGGCCGCAUGGUCACAGUUGUUAGCCUUCGGGCGGCUAUAGAUGGGUCUGCGUGCCAUUAGUUAGUUGGUAGGGUAAUGGCCUACCAAGGCGAUGAUGGCUAGGGGGUCUGAGAGGAUGAUCCCCCACACUGGGACUGAGACACGGCCCAGACUCCUACGGGAGGCAGCAGUGAGGAAUCUUGCGCAAUGGAGGAAACUCUGACGCAGCCACGCCGCGUGCCGGAAGAAGGCCCUAUGGGUUGUAAACGGCUUUUAAUUGGGAAGAAGGAUAGGGUUUUGAUUUAUUUGACGGUACCGAUUGAAUAAGCACCGGCUAACUCCGUGCCAGCAGCCGCGGUAAUACGGAGGGUGCAAGCGUUGUCCGGAAUCAUUGGGUGUAAAGGGUGCGUAGGCUGGCUCUUAAGUCUGAGGUGAAAUCUUGCCGCUUAACGGUAAAAUGGCCUUGGAUACUGGGAGUCUUGAAUCUGACAGAGGUCGGUGGAAUUCGUAGUGUAGCGGUGAAAUGCAUAGAUAUUACGAAGAACACCAGUGGCGAAGGCGGCCGGCUGGGUCAGUAUUGACGAUGAGGCACGAGAGCGUGGGGAGCGAACAGGAUUAGAUACCCUGGUAGUCCACGCUGUACACGAUGUAUGCUAGUUGUUGGGCCUUUGGGCUCAGUGACGCAGUUAACGCAGUAAGCAUACCACCUGGGG
rnacentral:rRNA from 1 species